rnacentral:ncRNA from 1 species
UGCAUUUGAAGUAGAGAGCGUGCUGCUACACACCCACUGGGUCAAAAGAAAUGCGGGAACGGGCACACCCGCCAGAUGCA